GGGGGAGUAGCUCAGAGGAUAGAGCAGCUGCCUUCUAAGCAGUUGGUCGUGGGUUCGAAUCCCGCCUUCCCCGCCA
rnacentral:tRNA from 1 species